UUUAUUUUUUAUUUUUCUAUUUGAUGUAGGUCCUGUUUGUCCUCGCCUGCCUAGUCGCUGUAAGCCUAGCCGCUCCAAGGAAUGAGUUGACCUGUGACAUCUGUAUUGAUGUUAUAACAGACUUUGAUGAAUGGUUAACCAGUGAUAAAACAGAACAAGAGAUUGUUGACUUUAUUUCAGAGAUUUGUGCCGCUAUCGGUUCCAUUUUACCCGACCUCGAGGCCGCCUGCAACUUCCUGAUUCAGUCUCAGCUUCCAGCCAUCAUUGAUGGCAUUGUCCAGGACAACCUGAACCCUACUGAAGUGUGCACAAACAUCCUUGGUGCCUGCCCUUGAAUAAUCCGGAAUAUAUUUAUGUACAAAUAACUUAAUAAGUGACAAAAUUCAAAUAAAUUUUCUAAUUAAA